GCUUGUCUCAAAGAUUAAGCCAUGCAUGUCUAAGUAUAAAUAUCUAUACUGUGAAACUGCGUAUGGCUCAUUAAAUCAGUUAUAGUUUAUUUGAUGAUACCCCACUACAUGGAUAACCGUAGUAAUUCUAGAGCUAAUACAUGCGUCAAAUCCCGACUUUUUGGAAGGGAUGUAUUUAUUAGGUACAGAACCAAUGCAAGCUCCGCUUGACCUUUUGGUGAUUCAUGGUAACCGAACGAAUCGCACGGCACCAGCUGGCGAUGGACCAUUUCAGUUUCUGACCUAUCAGCUUCCGACGGUAGGAUAUGGGCCUACCGUGGCAAUGACGGGUAACGGAGAAUUAGGGUUCGAUUCCGGAGAGGGAGCCUGAGAAACGGCUACCACAUCUAAGGAAGGCAGCAGG
rnacentral:rRNA from 1 species